rnacentral:rRNA from 1 species
CCGAUGGCGACCGGCGCACGGGUGAGUAACACGUAUCCAACCUGCCGAUAACUCGGGGAUAGCCUUUCGAAAGAAAGAUUAAUACCCGAUGGCAUAAUUAGACCGCAUGGUUUGAUUAUUAAAGAAUUUCGGUUAUCGAUGGGGAUGCGUUCCAUUAGGCAGUUGGUGAGGUAACGGCUCACCAAACCUUCGAUGGAUAGGGGUUCUGAGAGGAAGGUCCCCCACAUUGGAACUGAGACACGGUCCAA